GCGCCGCGGGUCUCUUGGUUGUGGUAGUUUCCCCGGAGGGCGCUCUGGGCCGGGGUCUCCGGAGUCCGCGGUCUGGGGACGGAGUAACCGUCGGGAGAGCUGCGGGGUCCGGCCGGCCGGGGCCUGGGGCGGACGGUGUCGGAAGCUGACGGGGCCCGAGAACCGUGGCCCUGUGUGUAGAGACUCCGGGGUGGGCGCUGCGGGUCGGACCUGACCGCUGUCGAGGUUUGUUACUCGCCUUUCCCAGCUCUGACUCGGUCGAGAGCUCGGAGUCGGAAGAGAUGACUGCCACGGGGCUCUUGGCUGCCUGCCUCCCGGUGAGUGGCCGCUCCUCUCCCUCCUGAUGGGCUGGGCCUGGACCCCAGGCUGGGGGGCUGGGCCUGGACCCCAGGCUGGGGGGCAUAACUCCCCCAACUUGGGACCCUCAGCCCGUCGUUCUGGCCGAGAAGGGAUGAACAGAAGAGGCAGAAAACUGCGUGGUCCUGCAGUCCUUAAGUGUAUCAAUAAAGCCCUAGAGCCAGUGAAGAUCUAGUCACAAAGCCCCCCAACAAGAAACUUCCUGACCCAAAUGGCUUCAGCUACCACCCGUUUAAAGAACAAACGAUUCUGGUCUUUCCAUCAUCUGGAAUGAUUUGUCUAAAAGAGGGAGCGUGUCUCUGUUAAUUCUUAUAAAGCCUGCGUAACCUGUGUUCCAAAACUUGUGCACUUCUCUCAGCUCAGUCUCCGCCUUUGAAAGGACAAAAAAACAGACUCCAGGAAGUGGCAACUACUUUCUCAGACUGUUUCCAGGGUUAAGUGAAUUUCCGUUAAAGAAGGUGCUGACUUAGCACUGCGCUCAGCCUGGAGAACUCUUGGCAAAUGUUAACAUUAUCAGCAGUUAAUAACAUCAUCUUUUUAUGCCUGGUAUAUAAAAAGGAAGAGGAAUCCUGAAGGAUGACAUUUUGAUCUUGUGGAGGAUCCCUAGUUUAUCAAGAAAUGAGUGAGAUUCUUAGGGGGUAAACAUUUCAGUAUUACGGGGGCUCUCCUCUGAAAUGGCUGAUGCAGGCCCCCAGAUCCCCCGGGGAGCCUUGAGUAUCCCUCAGAAGCCAGAACCCUCUCAGGACAUCUCUGUGUACACCUGAGUCCAUCCUCCCGUUCUCAUGUAUGCCGCUCCCAGCCCUUGUGGGAGCUUUGCAGAGAUCAGGGUCUUAGCUAAGCAGACACGACGGUGACAUUUCAGGGGCAGGUAACCUUCGAUGAUGUGGCUGUGGACUUCACCCAGGAGGAGUAGGAGCUGCUGGGCCCUGGCCAGAAGACCCUGUCCCACGACGUGAUGCUGGAGACCUUUAGGCACUUGGGGUCACUGUGGGUGAGGCUGUGCCUUGUGUUGACUUGCAUCUGCCUGGGGUCUCGGCAGAGUGGGUGUGACCUGGCUGGGAGUGUGGGGUCAGUGAACCCUAGAAGGGUUUCUCUUCUUCCAAGCCCUCAAGGCCUGAUCUCUCACUUGGACAGUGUCUUGGAUCUCCAAACCAGCUAUCGUGGCCCAGCUAGAACUCGGAGUAGAGCCAUGGAUAAUGGACAGAGGACUCUCCCAAGAUUCCUGCCCAGCAUGGAAGAACAGACCUAAAAGCCAAGAGUCACCAUCAACAGAGGCCAUUUCUGGUGACGGAUUACCCAGCAGCAUGAACCUGGAAAGGUACACAAUGGGUGAUUCCUGGCGUUCUACCGUAGCAGACGACUGGAAAUCUGAGGAUAAAUCAGAAAAUCAGAAGAUGUACCGUGUUAGUGUGGGGCCAGUGGAAUAUGAACAAGGGCAACUAGUGACCCCAGAUGGGGAUUGGGAAAAUGCUGAAGUUGUGGGGAAAUGCAGCUUCAAUUCCGACUUUGUUUCUUCACAGAGAUUUCUUAUCAAAGAACAUUUUCAUCAAACUGACUCAGGAGUUCACAGUUUACAGCAUAAUUUUGUUUUACAGAAUCAUCAGGAAAUCUUGGUAGAAAAGAAAUCUUGUAAAGACAAUCCAUAUGGAAAAGUCCUGGAAAAAUUGUAGUGGUUAUACCAUUUUACAUUCCCAUCAGCAAAGUAUGAGAGUUCCAGUUCCUCCACAUCCCCAUCAAUAUUUGGUGGGUAUUGCAGUUGCUUUCACUAAUCACCCAAUCCACUGCUCCUGGGCAAGCUCCUGGUGGAUUAAUCCUGCAGGAUGGCAGCCAUCAACCCGUGGGCUUCCUGGGGUAUCCUUACGGACCAGUCCUGGGGGAUGGCGGCUGUUGACCCGUGGGCCUCCUGGGGAACCAGUGACCUUCAAAGAUGUGGCUGUGGACUUCACCCAAGAGGAAUGGGGGCAGCUGGACCCUGUUCAGAGGACCCUGUACCGUGAUGUGAUGCUGGAGACCUAUGGGCAUCUGCUCUCUGUGGGGAAUCAGAUCGCCAAGCCCGAGGUCAUCUCCCUGUUGGAGCAAGGAGAAGAGCCGUGGUCAGUGGAGCAGGCAUAUCCUCCUCAAGGCACUUGUCCAGAAUGGAUGAGAAGUCUUGAAAGCAAAGCGUUGAUCCCAACACAGAGCAUUCUUGAGGAGGAACAGUCCCAUAGCAUGAAGUUGGAGAGAUACAUAUGGGAUGAUCCUUGGUUCUCCAGGUUAGAAGUUUUGGGAUGUAAAGACCAAUUAGAAAUGUAUCACAUGAACCAGAGUACAGCUAUGAGGCAAAUGGUCUUCAUGCAAAAGCAAGUACUGUCUCAAAGAGGCUCUGAGUUCUGUGAACUUGGGGCAGGGUGUAGCCAGAGCCUAAGCAUUGUUCCAUCUCAGAAAGUUUCUCAAAUAGAACAUUUCUAUAAGCCUGAUACAAAUGCUGAAAGUUGGAGAUGUAACUCAGCCAUAAUGUAUGCAGAUAAGAUUACCUGUGAAAAUAAUGAGUAUGACAAAGCCUUCUACCACUCCAUGCAACCUGUUCACCCUGCAAGGGUGCAAACUGGAGAUAAUCUUUUCAAAUGUACUGAUGCUGUUAAAUCUUUCAAUCAUAUACUGCAUUUCGGUGAUCAUAUGGGAAUGCAUACAGGAGAAAAACUAUAUGAAUAUAAGGAAUGCCAUCAAAUCUUUAACCAGAGCCCAUCAUUUAGUGAACAUCCAGGACUUCAUAUUGGAGGAAACCAGUAUGAUUACAAAGAAUAUGAGAAUAUCUUUUACUUUUCAUCCUUUAUGGAACAUCAAAAAAUUGGUACUGUAGAGAAAGCAUAUAAAUACAAUGAAUGGGAGAAAGUCUUUGGGUAUGACUCAUUCCUUACACAGCAUACAAGCACUUACACUGCAGAAAAACCCUACGAAUAUAAUGAAUGUGGGACGUCUUUCAUCUGGAGCUCUUACCUUAUCCAACAUAAGAAAACUCAUACUGGAGAGAAACCCUAUGAAUGUGAUAAAUGUGGAAAAGUUUUUAGGAAUCGUUCAGCCCUUACUAAACAUGAACGGACUCACACUGGAAUCAAACCCUAUGAAUGUAAUAAAUGUGGAAAAGCCUUCAGCUGGAAUUCUCAUCUUAUUGUACACAAGAGAAUUCAUACGGGAGAGAAACCUUAUGUAUGUAAUGAAUGUGGGAAGUCUUUCAACUGGAACUCCCAUCUUAUUGGACAUCAGAGAACUCAUACUGGAGAGAAACCUUUUGAAUGUACUGAAUGUGGGAAAUCUUUCAGCUGGAGCUCCCAUCUUAUUGCCCACAUGAGAAUGCAUACUGGAGAGAAGCCCUUUAAAUGUGAUGAAUGUGAAAAAGCUUUUAGGGAUUACUCAGCCCUUAGUAAACAUGAAAGAACUCACUCUGGAGCAAAACCAUAUAAAUGUACUGAAUGUGGAAAAUCCUUCAGCUGGAGCUCCCACCUUAUUGCCCAUCAGAGAACUCACACAGGAGAGAAACCCUAUAACUGUCAGGAAUGUGGCAAAGCAUUCAGAGAACGUUCAGCCCUUACUAAACAUGAAAUAAUUCAUUCUGGAAUUAAGCCCUAUGAAUGUAAUAAAUGUGGAAAAUCCUGCAGCCAGAUGGCUCACCUUGUUAGACAUCAAAGGACUCAUACUGGAGAGAAGCCCUAUGAGUGCAAUAAAUGUGGAAAAUCCUUCAGCCAGAGUUGCCACCUUGUUGCCCAUCGGAGAAUCCACACUGGUGAGAAACCCUACAAAUGUAAUCAAUGUGAAAGAUCCUUUAACUGUAGCUCUCAUCUUAUUGCACACAGGAGAACUCAUACUGGAGAGAAACCAUAUAGAUGUAAUGAAUGUGGGAAAGCAUUUAAUGAGAGUUCUUCCCUUAUUGUACAUCUGAGAAACCAUACUGGAGAAAAACCCUACAAAUGUAAUCAUUGUGAAAAAGCUUUCUGUAAGAAUUCUUCUCUUAUUAUUCAUCAGAGAAUGCAUAGUGGAGAGAAACGCUUUAUAUGCACUGACUGUGGAAAAGCCUUUAGUGGUCACUCAGCCCUACUUCAACACCAGAGAAAUCAUAGUGAAGAGAAACUCUGUGAAUUGAAUUGAUGAGAGAUUUUUCUUUUAUUGUACAUUUGAUAACACAUUGAAAAAAACCCUAUAAGUAUAAUCAAGAGGGGAAAUUUUUAAUACGAGUUCAGUAAGACUUCUCCCCUUAUUAAUCAGUAGAAAUUAUCUUCGUAGAAGAAACCUGUGAAUGAAAAGAAUAGGCAAAAGCCUUCCACAGUUGUGUAGCCUUUAUUUAACAUCAAAUAAUUACAGUGAAGAGGACACCAGACUCCCCUCAUGGUCCACCAGGAAUCCUACUUGAGCAACAUGAACGUAGGGGAUGAGACAUCUUUUAGUAAGAGAUCUCAACUAUUUGUGGAUCAGAGUGCAUUGUUAAGGGAAAAACUUUAUCCUAGGAAAAGUGUUUCAACUAGAUAUACGCUGUUUUGCAUCAAGCUGGAAUAUUGGAUGGAAGUUUUACAAUAACAUUUUGUGCAUCAUUACGGAAACACAGAUUGUGCUAUUAUAAGGGGAGGGUCUGGGCGCCCUUUAAGGAAUAGAAUAUGGAAUACUAAACCUGAAUUUAAGGAAAAAAAAGAGUUGAAUGGGAUAUUUACUGUUGAUCGAGAUUAACCUUAGAAAAGAUUAGUAAAUGAGAUUACUAAUGAUGGAAAGGUAUUGCCCAUAAGUAUGAGACUGAUGUUGUUGGAACAAAAGGUGAUACUUAAUAACCCAGUGUGUCAGUGACCAUGGUUUACUCAUUACUGCAUUGUUGGACAAUUAGUUUGUAAUCUGUUUUAGGCAGUCACUGUAAGUUAUAAUUAUGGAUACUGAGUCAAUAUACAUAACAAAAAAGGAAUAAAAAAGACACAAAAUUGUAUAUACAUAUCUACUAUAACAUCUAAAAAGUGUAUAUGCAUAACAACUGGAAAGACCCAUGGAUAAAUUAACCCAGUUAAGGUUUUUUUUUUAAGUUUUACAAACACAUACAGCACUUAUCAUGUGCUAGACUUUGUUUUAAAUACUUUUCAAAUAUUAACUUGUUCAGUCCCCUUAAUUCUAUGAGAUAGGUACUAUUAUUAUCCCAGUUUUACAGAGGGAGAAACUGAGGCAGAAAUCAUGAGAAACCUACCUAAGGACACACAGCUAGUUAGGAGUAGAAAGAUUGUUUGGCUCCAGAGAUUGUUUUAACCACUGUGUUGCACUGCCUCUGCAGUGAUUUUUUUCCCCUAAUGUUUUUUUUUUUUAAUUUUGUCGAGUAUUCUUAUAGUAGAUAUUUGAUAAUAAAAAUCAAAUUCCUAAACAAUGAGAAGUAAAGUUACCUGGAUUUCUGCCCUGUGGGAUUUCGGGUACCACGAGAGCAAAGCUCCCUUUGGAAUAUGAAGUCUGGAUUGGACAUUCAGAAUCAGUGCAUUUUCUGGGCCCUGGGUUCCCUAGAAUUUCACCACCUAUGACCCUGAGGAUUACAGCAGAGCAGGGGCUGGAGGACUCACUGGAGGUUUGGGCAAGUCUGAGGAAAUGCCCCUUGAUGGGUUUAGAAUGCCCUUCAUGAGGCAGAGGGCAAGAGACACAUCUGCACAUGAGAGCACCAUUUCUCAAGGUCUCCCUAGAAUUCAAUGUUUAUAUUUUCUGUAUCUUCUCCAGAUGAAGAGAUUACUUGAUAGUGGGGAGGAUUCAGAAGGGAAGGGAGCUAAUCAGUCAUAAAAUGAGGAAGUUUCUCUGAGUGCUCAGAGUGGAAAGGGGGCAAGAUGAAUAGGAGGACUUGGGUGGCGUUUCUUCGGUUCACAAAUAUUUCCUGUAUUUAAAUCCCUAAGGUAGGGCUAUAAUUAAGGGCCAGCAGUCCUUCCUGGAUGGGUUUCAAGGGCAUUGGUUAGAAAUCCAGGGUACAGAAGGUUCAUCUCGUUCUCGAGGGGUCCAUGACUCUCCAGUGGUUGAGAAAAAGUGGCCUGCUGGUAUGGUGGAACUCUGUGCUCACUGUCAGACUCCCGUAGCUGGCACUUCCAUAGGUAUGUAACACUGACCCUACCUUAAUGUAUAGGGGUUGCCCAGUAAAGGUUGCAGGGGUAAAUUAAUUGGAUUUCUUGUGUGAUUUGUGCAGAGAUCCUUGGAGAGAAUAGAGGCAGCACUAUUAACCUCUGUAAGAGACAGCAGCCUAAUGCAUCAAGAGGUGUACUGCCAAUAUAUGGGUAUUGUAUUCUAACACCCAAAGUAAUAUACUUUGAACCCAGAUUCUCUGAUUUAGGGACUACAAAGGAUUUUGUAAGUCAUACAUAAAUAUUCCACAGGCAUCCUGGCAAGUUCUGUAACUGUACCACCAAGCUUAGUAUCUUUAAAAAAAUAUUUCUAAAAGGGCCUCCUGGACUUCUGAAGUGUCCUUCUAAUAGGGUCCCAGACUUCUGCUUCCUCCUAGGAGGAUUCCCUACCUCCCUACCACCUAUUACACAACCUUAUGUAUGCCCAGGGCUCCCAGGUCCCCUCUUACCUCCCUUAUUCUCACCCACAUGUAGCUCAGUUCAUUGCCCUUUUGAUCCCCACGCUCCACUCUUCCCCAACUCUGAAACCUGCUGGGCCCAGUUGGAACUCUCCAUUCAGCCAUCUUUUGCUGUGACUGAAACUUGGGUCUCCCCUCUGCACAGUACCUUUUCUUAUGAUCCUUGCAGGGAGUGGCUGCUUUCUCUCUCACUCUUCUUCAUUUGUUGCUUCUAGAUUGUUUUCCCUCCCUUCUCUCUAAAACUGAGUUCUGACUCUUGGGACACCAAACUGUCAUAUCACUCUUGCUUCCCCUCUGUUGCAAUCACCUUAUGAAUGGUUCACUCUUCCCAUCCGUAAAGAUUUCAGCUCUUGCUGUAUUGCAUCUAAAACCACCCCCAUCAUAAUACUUCCUGAUUUUAUUGUCCAGGUAGAUGAUCUUCCUGUGUCCUGACCUCACAGUUCUUUGACCUGUCUGCUCACGGUUUUGUCACCCACCCUGCAACAGACAGUCACUCCCAUUGUCAUCCCUAGGACCAUUCCAUUACCGGUGACUGGAACCUCCCACCAUCGAUUUCAAGUGUCUUUUCCUAAGCUAGUUGGCUGUUUAGUACCAAGAUUCCAACAGUCCCUUCACUGAAUCUUCCCUUACGCUUGCUCCCAGCAGACGACUUUGCUUCCUGUUUCCCUGAGUGAAUAGAAGCCAGCAGAGGCCUUGCAUGACAUCUGUCCACCUUCUCUACCCACUUUCCAUAAUUUCCGUGCCUUCCCACUGGUGCCUGUAUAUGAACUGACUAGGUUGGCACCAGAGCCUGUCCCAUGUCCACUACUCCAAGACAUUGCUUCAGCAAGUUUCCCUUAAUCUCUUGUAUCCUCAGGUUUUCUAUAUAUACUGGAUUAUCCCCAUGGGCAUGUAAACAUACUUCAAAAAAACAAAACAAAAAACGCCUCUGGCUCCUGAAUCAUUCUCUGCUUUGUUUCAGAAAGCAAAAUAUCUCAAAAGUUGUCUGUUCUUGCUGUCUUCACUUCCCUUUCAUUCUUUCUUUCUUUUUUUAAAAAAAAUAUUAUUUUUGGUUGCAUCGGGUCUUAGUUGGGGCACACGGGAUCUUUCGUUGCAGCGCAUGGGCUUCUCUCUAGUUGUGGCACGCAGGCUUAGUUGCCUGGCAACAUGUGGAAUCUUAGUUCCCCGACCAGGGAUCGAACCCGCGUCCCCUGCAUCGGAAGGCGGAUUCUUAACCACUGGACCACCAGGGAAGACCCCUUUCUAUUCUUUCUUGAACCCACUCCAAAACCUACCUUGCUGCCAGAUGACCUCCACAUUGCUAAAUCCAGUGGUCAGUUCUGUUUUCUUCCUUGACGUUAUCAGCAGCAUCUUAGAUUCUUAGGUAAUAGAUCAUUUCCUUCUUGAAACACCUUCACGUGGCUUUUGGGACUUGCCUCCUGCCUCUCUGGCCUUCAUUUCAGGACCCCUUUGCUGUUCCUUCCCCACUUCCUUUACCUCUUACUGUCAGACUGCCCACUUCCCAUCUGCUCACAGUGCCUUGAUCUCAUGCAGUCUUGAAGCCCUGUAAACACCACUGGUAUGCUGAUGACUCUCCCUUUAAGGCCACAGUUUGAUGAGUUUUGAAAAAUGUCAACACCCUUGCAACCACCACUACAAUAAAAAUAGAGAAUAUUUGCCCUUCUCCAAAAAGUUCCCUCAUGUCUUUUCACAGUUAAUCUCCACCCUACCCCAAGACCCGGGCAACCACAUGUCUGCUUUGUCAGUACAUAUUAGGAUUGUCUUUUAGAGUUGUAUAAAGAUAGAAUCAUACAGUAUUCUAUUCAUAUGCUACGUUUGUAUCCAGAUUCUUUUGCUCAGCAUGUUUUGGAGGCUCAUCCACGUUGUAGCAUUUAUCAGUAGUCUACUUUCUUUGCUGAGUAGCUUUCCAUUAUGCGGAUGUGCCACAGGUAGUAGUCAUCCUGUUCACCUGUAGAUGGACAUUGACUUGUUUCCAGUUCUGGGCUAGUGUAAAUACAGCUGCUAUGGACAUUCUUCUUCAGGGCUUUUUUGUGUAUGCAGGUUUCCAUUUACCUUGGCUAAAAACCUAGGAGUGGAGUAGCUGAGUUGUAUGGUAAGUAAAUGUUUAACUUCAUAAGACACUUCUAUUGGCCUUUUAAUCUGAUGUCUUUAUUCUGUUUUACAUUCUGGGAAAUUUAUCUCUUAUUUUUUAAUAUUUCAUUUUUGCCAUUUAAAAAGUUUCUCUUUUUAGGACUCCUAUUAUUUAGAUGUCAGCAUGUCUGUGUCUGUUGUUCAUAUCUGUUACCUGCUCUUUUAUGUUCUCUAGUUCCUUCUCCCUUCUUCCUUUUGUCUGGACAUUUCCUCAGCUUGCUAAUUUGUUUCUCAGCUGUCCAUUUUGCUGCUUAUUUCCUCUAUUGUGUCUUCAUUUCAACCACUAUUUUACAUUUCUAAUAUUUCUACUUGGUUCCCUUUUAUGUGUUCUUACUCUUCAUUUCCUAUUGUUAGUAUCAUGCCAUAUCUCUUUAAACGUACUUAAUUGACUAAGUUAAAAUUUUGGUCCAUCUGUUCUAAUAUAUGUGCUUCUGGUGGAAUCUGUAAUCCAGUGUGGUGUUUUUCUUUCUGAAAUAGUUAUGCUCAGAAAAUUGCUUACUGCCUGGCCAGUGAGCACAUUUAUUUCUCUUAGGGAAGCAGCUACUCCCAUCAGUUUUUAUGCAUACAUGAGACAGGAUCAGAUCUUGGUCCCUGUAAACCCCACUGAAUUCAGGGGUGGGAGGAUGGAUCCUAGGAUGGAGAGGUGAAGGCAUCCGAAAGCCAAUCACUGACUUCUUACCUCACAAGAUAACUGAAAUGUGAUUCACUAGCCCAGGGCUCUGUGGACGCAGGGUGGAGAAACAUGUGCCUGAUGUGAUGUAGUCUCUGCCUGUCUCUCAGCCACUCCGAAGCCCUGUCUUGAUUCCACUCCUCAGGAAGCCUGAAGCAGAGGCUGUGUCACUGCAGCUGUGGGUGAUGCCUGACCGUCCAGUCAACAAAUUCUCCUCACUUUCCACCUCACUGCCCUGUCUUUACUUGCUUCAUCGCACACGUCACUACGGAACAUCACCUGGUCUAUAGUUUUCCUUCCUUAUUGUCCACACCAUCUCCCGAAACCACACACUAGGCUGUGAUCUCCAUGGGGCAGGGCACCUCGUUGGUCCUGGUCGUGCUGUGUCCCUAGUGUCCAGCACAGCACCUGUGGUUCUGUGAGUGCUUGGAACACACCAGCAGGUUGUUGCUUGUGCUUCCCAGCAGCCCGACCUCAUCAGGUGGGGUCGCCAUGAGUUCUCAUCAUCCUGGGUCUCCUGACCAUGGAGAGGAGACUGGGGGUGACUGUGGGGUGGUGCCCACAGGGAGAAGGGCUUUGCAAUCAUAGACAAAUGGUCAAGAACCCCUGUAUGUGGGAGAAGGACUAGUCAGAAGGCUUGACCAUAAAAUGGGGGGUGGGGGUGGAUAUCAGAGACGCCACAAAUCAGACUCACCUUGUGGGCAGAGGAGAGAAGUGGCCAGGAAUGUGGGCGGUGCUGGGAGCUCCCCAGCAACACAGAGUCUUCGAGUCACGAGGGUCAGGGCUCAUCCCAGCCUUCCCUGCAGAUGCUGUUAUGUCUGCACAGGCAACACCCUCCCUUGUGUCGUCACAGAGACAAAAUCCCUCUGCAGAUGGAGUGAGCAGCACUGUGCUCAAGAAGUUGGCUCCAGGCCCUGCUUCUGGGUCUGGUCAAAACCCACAGCAGGAAGGAUGAGCUCCCACAAGGCCUUGGUGAGCUGCCCAG